rnacentral:lncRNA from 1 species
GUGGACAGCCUACACCAAGGGAAGAGUCAGGGGAGAAGGAACACAAGACUCCGGAAGCAUGCCAGCGUAUAAAACCGUCUCUCUCUGUGACCUGUAAUUUGAGGGUGACAAAAAAGAACUUCCCAUGAAAGAACAAACAAACAUGACACCACCUGGGACCAUUGAAGUUGGAUUUCCCCUGGUAAGGUCUGAUGUUAUACCCUUUAAUCAUCUUUGUUGGGUUCUGCCAAGCCUCCCCAAACUUCCCACACUUCUCAUUAGUGGAUCAGUGGGUAUCCUUGCUAGAGACUGACCGAUUGUGGGUACAAUGGCACGGUUGUUCUUGCUGACCACACAUCUGUUUAUACAGUACCAUGAUUGUUUCUUGAGCAAACAAAAGCAAAGACAGUGGAACGAAAACACAAAAAGUUUUAUCUUCUAGUAAGAACUAUGAGAAGUAUUUUCAGGAAAGAUUGACUCUGCAAUUCUGCCACAAAACUCAGUGAUGUGAUUAUGCCUCACCAACAAGCAAUGGAAAACUUUUAUGGGAAAAAGUGUGUAGUAUCAAUUUCCAACUUUUGGUCAACUGAACUGAAAAGAAUCAAUGGAUGUAUUUAUCUGAACAGGAUUUAAUUUGAAUGCGCAACUAGCCACAGAUUACAGCUCAAAAAAAGUGUAUGUACUUAAAAGGAAGCUUAUGUGAAUUUUUUUGAGCCUGGUGAACAUUAUGUGUGCUGUACAAUAUAUAAAAUAACAUCAUCAUUACAUAUUAGAAAUAAAAUGUGAGAAAUCAGAAGAGACGGGGUUUCACUAUGUUGGCCAAGCUGGUCUCAGACUCCUGACCUCGUGAUCUGCCCGCCUUGGCCUCCCAAAGUGCUGGGAUUACAGGAUUUUCUUCACCUUAUCUCCUCUAUGACUCUUCCUGCCUUCCCUCAUCAUUCUAGACCUCGCUGAUCACCUUCCACCAGGAACUAUACAAGACUUGGGGUCUGUUCUGUUCAAAAUUACAGAAACCCUAUUUUCUGCCUAUUAGUUAACUUAUGAAUACAUAUUAAGUAAUAAUGAAUUGAAAUAAAUGAAUAAUAAAUGUCUCAAUUUCUGUUAUAU